rnacentral:misc_RNA from 1 species
GAAGAAGCUCUUAGAAGACCAGCGUUGUCGCUCGCCAGGAGAGGAGGAGGAGGAGGCCGCUCUACGGAAGAAGAAGACGACGCUGCGCUGCGCGGCGACGGACGACUGGUCGGUGGGUGUCAUGAGAAGGUCGGCCGUGUCCGUGAGGCGGGCGGCGCCAGCGGCAUUGGCCAUCUUGUUCGGAGCGCUCCUUCUGGUGUCGUUCGUCGUGGACGGCGUCAGGAAAGCGGCUCCGCCGGCGGCGAUCGGCGGGAGGAGGAUGAUGCUGGGCGGAGGCGCCGGAGGGCUGAGGACCCUGGAGGAUUUCAAGGCUCAUGAUCCCUUCCAGGACAGCAAGAGAAGGGUGCCCAAUGGCCCUGAUCCUAUCCACAACAGAGGAACCGGCAAGUCAGGACGAUCGCCGGGACGAGCAUGACGUCGGGAGCGCGCAUGCCGAGGCGUGGAAGCUUCCGAACCCGAAGAGGCCGGCGAUAGCGACGUGUUGGGAGCGGCGGCUAGCAAACAGAAGAUGCGUUGCGUUGCAUACUUGCAUUGCAUGGAGGAAGAGGAACAGACAAGAGGUGCA